GACGUAGGAUGCAAGCGUUGUCCGGAUUUAUUGGGCGUAAAGAGUUCGUAGGCGGUUCGUUAAAGUCUGAUGUUAAAGACUGGGGCUCAACCCUGGGAGUGCAUUGGAUACUGGCGGACUGGAGUGCAGUAGAGGCAAGCGGAAUUCCAGGUGUAGCGGUGAAAUGCGUAGAUAUCUGGAAGAACACCGGUGGCGCAAGCGGCUUGCUGGGCUGUAACUGGACGCUGAGGAACGAAAGCCUAGGGGAGCGAAUGGG
rnacentral:rRNA from 1 species